UGUGAUCUGUCCCCUUCAUUAUAGGAAAGGGAGUGUGAAACUCAUUGUGAUCCUUGGAUGCUGUCUGGCUGAAGAGGACAGUAUCUGCACAGACCCCUCCCUUCCUCUCAAAUACUCCUGAGCAUCAGUUAUAAGCUGCACUAUAUUGAGGAAAAUGCUUGCCGGUUUCCAUGGCGACGGACUGUGGGAGAUGACGUCAUUUGUGGGUGCCAUGCUUCCUGGUUCUGGAUGCCGCUGGUAGCGUUUCACCUGGUGGGGAUAUAAGUCAUUUCUGAUGAUACUCUCCUGUUUGACAUGGCACCUGAAAUCAUGAGGGAAGGACUUACAAGCAAUCCAAAACCUAAGAUUCUGAUUUAAAAUCUGAUUUCCAAACCAAGGGAAUCACCACACCAGGACUCGGCUCAACUCUGAUCCCCUAAAGGAAUCUGUAUUGGGACAUGGUUCGACUCAGAUCCCCUAAAAUUUGGCUAAAGGCUCAUUGCUUUUUUCCAAGUUCCAAACAGAAAAUACUGUAUGGCAGCUGAUUCCGAACACUGGUGGCAAUUUAGUUUUGCAACAUGCAUGCAUGAUCACUAAAGAAACAGAACAUUUCUGGCUCUACUGUCCAACUUUGGUGCAUGCAAAAUCGGGAAAUCUUAUCAUUUCAUUUACACUGAUUGAGACCAUUAAAGAAGGGCUAAAUGGACCUCACAUAUUAAAUUAAUCAGAGCAGUCUUUUGUCACAUUGAAUUGCAAUUAACAUAUAAUUUCAAGCAAGAAAGAUGUGAAAAAGAUACUUGGCGUAAGCCAGGUUCAUAAAACCUGGCACACCGAGAAGGAAUGUUUUGUGCAACUGCAGGAAUAUUGUAUGCAAACACAUCUGUUAUUAAAUAAAACUGACCAUUUUUUCAACUCCA